AUUAAGAUCAAAUCUUGAUUGUAACAUUUAGAUAUUGCAUGCCGAUUUCAAACAUAAUAUUUAUGAUUAAU
rnacentral:sRNA from 1 species